CUUAAGGCUUGUAGGUCAUACUGCCCAAACAGACAGACAAGCAGAGAAGUUAGCUGAACUAAAGGAACUGUGAGACUGGAUGUUAAGUACUUAUCUUGCAAUCAUGAAAAUUGGCACAAGUCCAGAAAAUAAUUUGUGUUGCUCCAAAGUGAGAUGGAAAUAUAUUCAACUUUUACAAUAUGUUUUAAGUUUCUGAUGGUAUUAAUGUUGGUUUUUCCUUGUUCAAAGGAAGACGUUUAUAUUUCUGAGAAUUAAAACAUCAAAAGCAGCCAUUAAUGUGAUGUUUCCUUAAAUUCACAAAAGAAGAAUCAAAUAAUGUUUAUAUGAGGGGGUACUGAAAAAUGUGUACAAAGUAUUCUUGGAGCACAAAUGAGAGACUUCAACUCUUUCUCAAACAUCAGUGAUGAUUUUACAGAGAAGACAUUUGUGUUGCAUUAAAAGAAGGAAUUUACAAAGUAGAGAAGAGGUGAAAGCAAGAAGGGUGAUGUGGAAGAGCCAACUGAGGAAGGACAGAGGUCUCAGCGUGGAAGGAGUACAGGAAAUGAUGAAGAUAUAGCGGGUACAUGUGCAGGUUUGUUACAUGGGAAUAUUGCAUGAUGCUGAAGUUUGGAAUAUGUAUCCCAUCACCCAAUUGGUGAGCUUAGUACAUGAUGCUGCACUACUUGUUACCGUGGCCUAUUGUAUAAUUACAUUGGAACCUUUUUGAUACCUAUUCAAAUGAGUCUCACCAUAGCUCAGGCUGGAGUGCAGUGGCGCGAUCUCGGCUCCUGCCUCCUGGGUUCAAGCACGGCCUCCUGGGUUCAAGCGAUUCUCCUGCCUUAGCCUCCCGAGUAGCAGGGACUACAGGCACCCACCACCACGCCCAGCUAAUUUUUUAUAUUUUUAGUAGAGACAAGGUUUCACCGUGUUAGCCAGGAUGGUCUCCAUCUCCUGACCUCGUGAUCUGCCCGCCUCGGCCUCCCAAAGUGCUGGGAUUAAAGGCAUGAGCCACCGCACCCGGCCAGAUGUCAUUCUGUUUGUCACAACCAAGCUCUUCAUAUAUAUCAGUGAAUUCACCUUCACUAAGUUCUCCUGGCUGCAGAUCUAGAGUCUAUCCAACAGUAGCCAUGUAAACAUUUCCACAUUCAGCUAUUUUUUUUAUAACUCUAUUUAUAGAUUUCACUUCCAGCCUCAUCACUUUUCAUUUAUUUGCUGCACUUUGAUCUUUGUUAGUCAAUUCUUUCUUCUGAUUAUCCAUUUUUGUAAAAUGUCACAUGAGUUUGUCACUGGGAGGCUAUCUGUGGGUGAGCUGAGUGAUAUAUGUGCAGUGACCAAUCACUGGCAGACGUUGAAAGGAGUGACAUGAUUGGUCCCUGAUCAUGAUGUGCUUCUGCUAUUUACAUAGCGAUUUGUGGACUGGGAGCAAGCAGUGAGGUUUGUACCUUACGAAAUUAUACACAGGUAAUACACGGUGGUAACUGAAAUUUAAACAGUGUUGUUGGUAGAUUGAAGUUACUUAACUAAAUCCUAGUACCUGAAAUUUGUGCCAUGUCACAAAUGUGAAAAGAAGGGAAAUUCUUGAUUUUUCCAUCGUUAUACCUCAAGUUAUCCCCGACGUCAAAUAUUUAAAUAUAAUAAAAAUUUGAAGCAAAUGAACUGUGGCUGGAAAGCAUGUGAAUUAACCUGGAUUAGGACAAAAAUAAAGCACUCAGUGUUCAACAAAUGUGGUGGCUAGAAAGGCCAAUUAGAAAUAUAUCCUCACCUUGUGUUGCUUGGAGACUACUCAGGCAAUUAAAAUCCAUGCAUACAUAACUGAGGCACAGCAUAAAAAGCUGGCAGAGUGGCAUGGUAAAAAUACCAAGACUAUACAAAAUUCAUCCUCAGGCCAUUUAUUUGGUUGCCAUUUUUUAUUAGAGACCAAAAAUAUCUUCAUUGGAAUUGUUCUACAUAAGAAUUAGUAUGAGUGUGAUGUGUAAAAUAGAUUGCAGGUGUUGUGGGAAGAUUUGUUAGGAGGCUACAUUAUUUGCUAUUUUAGUAUGGCAUAGAAUUACUCUGGAGAAAGAGUUAUUGAGGCAAUGACAGUAGUAAUGGAGAGAGUGAAAAUUACAGAGGUGCAGGAGCUAAGACUUGUCACCUGGAGAUGAACAGAGAGAAGAGAAUCAUUUGGAGACAGCGAUUGUUUCAAGCUGUAGUGAUUUGCAGAAACCUGAAGAUCUGCUGAUCUUCACAAGAUACCAGUGAUGUUUAAUGCAGCUCAUUUGAACAAAAUUAAAACUAUUGCUAGGUUUUCUCACUUAGUUCUGCAUGCCAUCUCUCAUUGUUAUUCAUCUGUAUCACUAGUUCCCUUUAUAGACUAUCAUUUAAUAAAAAGAACUGGUGACAAACUCUACCUACUCUUCUAAACUUUUUUUCAUCUAGUAUCU
rnacentral:lncRNA from 1 species